rnacentral:rRNA from 1 species
CACAGAGGAGCUUGCUCCUCGGGUGACGAGUGGCGGACGGGUGAGUAAUGUCUGGGGAUCUGCCCGAUAGAGGGGGAUAACCACUGGAAACGGUGGCUAAUACCGCAUAACGUCGCAAGACCAAAGAGGGGGACCUUCGGGCCUCUCACUAUCGGAUGAACCCAGAUGGGAUUAGCUAGUAGGCGGGGUAACGGCCCACCUAGGCGACGAUCCCUAGCUGGUCUGAGAGGAUGACCAGCCACACUGGAACUGAGACACGGUCCAGACUCCUACGGGAGGCAGCAGUGGGGAAUAUUGCACAAUGGGCGCAAGCCUGAUGCAGCCAUGCCGCGUGUAUGAAGAAGGCCUUCGGGUUGUAAAGUACUUUCAGCGGGGAGGAAGGCGAUGUGGUUAAUAACCUUGUCGAUUGACGUUACCCGCAGAAGAAGCACCGGCUAACUCCGUGCCAGCAGCCGCGGUAAUACGGAGGGUGCAAGCGUUAAUCGGAAUUACUGGGCGUAA